GGAAGUAGAGAGAAGACAUUGCUGGAAGAGGCAGCAGAGGAGGUAAAUCUGUAUACAUCACAUGACCAAUCAGCAUGGAGCAGGACCAGAGUCACAUGACUGUGAGGAUUCUAAACCUCACCCUGGAGAUCAUCUACCUGCUGACCGGAGAGAGAUUUCCUCUUGUGAAGUCAGGUGAUCACAUGACCAU